AAUGAUCAACCCAUACGGUGUGAUGAGUAACAGGGACAGGGGGAGAGGGUGGCGAUUGUUAGCCCAUGGGUCAGCAUCAUGUGAUCGACCCACUGUCUACCUCCUCUCCUGUUCCAACCAGCAACCAGGGAGCCUCAAACAGAAAGAUAGGAGAAGCACUCAACGACCUGGGAGCUGAUGGGUACCGAUAACAUGUGGCCCUGGCUCAUGGCCCUUGGUGGCCUCUCUGCUAUCCUCCAGUUUGUGACCUUUCUCUUUUACCCUGAGGCUCCCCGCUACCUAUACAUCGACAAGGGAGACACUGAGGGCUGCAAAAAAAGCCCUGCACUGGCUGUGGCAGGAAGAUGGAGAUGGAUGAAAUGGGGAAGGAGAGAGCGAGUAUGCGCUCAGUCCAGGGCUAUAUCAUCAAAUCAAAUCAAAUUUAUUUAUAUAGCCCUUCGUACAUCAGCUGAUAUCUCAAAGUGCUGUACAGAAACCAGUCCUCUUCUGGCUGUGCCGGGUGGAGAUUAUAACAGAACAUGGCCAAGAUGUUCAAAUGUUCAUAAAUGACAUUUACAUUUACAUUUAAGUCAUUUAGCAGACGCUUAUGACCAGCAUGGUCCAAUAAUAAUAAGGCAGAACAGUUGAAACUGGAGCAGCAGCACGGCCAGGUGGACACAUAAACUACAUAAACUACUGCAGCAUAAAUACUGGAGGCUGAGACAGGAGGGGUCAGGAGACACUGUGGCCCCAUCCGAGGACACCCCGGACAGGGCCAAACUGGAAGGAUAUAACCCCACCCACUUUGCCAAAGCACAGCCCCCACACCACUAGAGGGAUAUCUUCAACCACCAACUUACCAUCCUGAGACAAGGCCGAGUAUAGCCCACAAAGAUCUCCGGCACAACUCAAGGGGGGGGGGGGGGGGGCGCCAACCCAGACAGGAAGAUCACAUCAGUGACUCAACCCACUCAAGUGACGCACCCCUCCCAAGGAUGGUAUGAAAGAGCCCCAGUAAGCCAGUGACUCAGCCCCUGUAAUAGGGUUUUAGGAGGCAGAGAAUCCCAGUGGAAAGACCGGCCAGGCAGAGACAGCAAGGGCGGUUCGUUGCUCCAGAGCCUUUCCGUUCACCUUCCCACUCCUGGGCCAGACUACACUCAAUCAUAUGACCCACUGAAGAGAUGAUAAUGUGAAUCUUUUAUUUUGACAUCUUAUGCUGGGUUUUGGAAGAAGGAUGUUCCUUGAUUAUCUAGACCUUACAAUAGUCAAACAUAGAAUUACGUUCCAUAACGUACAACAUAACAAUUCACAUAUAACAUAUAUCAGUACACAUCAUAUCAUCCGAUAUGGUGAGCUGAGGCGUGUAUAUGAUGCCUCUGUUGUAUAAAAUAUGAUUUAUGCGUAUGUAGGAGGAUGACCUGUAGAUGGAUGACAUGGGGAAGGAGAGGCAUGCAGGGCUCGAAGGUUAAGACCAUGUGGGACGCUCUGACUUCUCGCUGUGUCAGGUGGCAGCUGCUGGCUCUGGUCAUCCCUUGUGCCGGUAUUCAGUUUUGUGGUAAUAACGCAGUGUCUGUUUUAACCGUAUCUACCUUUACUGCAACUUUACUGCAUUUACCAUUAGUCACAAGUAUGAAUCCAAUGUCAAUACUUUAUUUUUUCCCUGAUUAGGUUAUUCUGUAAAGUGAAGAGCUGCUCCAUUCCCUUCCCUUUUCAUAAUUAAACACCUACAAAUAGGA